rfam:Triticum aestivum genome assembly, contig: Triticum_aestivum_CS42_TGACv1_scaffold_251670_3DL
CAUAUACUCCCUCCGUCCCAAAAAUCUUGUUUUAGAUUUGUCUAGAUACGGAUGUAUCUAACACUAAAACAUGACCAGAUACAUCCGUAUCUAGAUAAAUCUAAGACAAGAAUUUUAGGACAGAGGUAAUACAUA